rnacentral:rRNA from 1 species
UAAGACUGGGAUAACUUCGGGAAACCGGAGCUAAUACCGGAUAAUAUUUUGAACCGCAUGGUUCAAAAGUGAAAGACGGUCUUGCUGUCACUUAUAGAUGGAUCCGCGCUGCAUUAGCUAGUUGGUAAGGUAACGGCUUACCAAGGCAACGAUGCAUAGCCGACCUGAGAGGGUGAUCGGCCACACUGGAACUGAGACACGGUCCAGACUCCUACGGGAGGCAGCAGUAGGGAAUCUUCCGCAAUGGGCGAAAGCCUGACGGAGCAACGCCGCGUGAGUGAUGAAGGUCUUCGGAUCGUAAAACUCUGUUAUUAGGGAAGAACAUAUGUGUAAGUAACUGUGCACAUCUUGACGGUACCUAAUCAGAAAGCCACGGCUAACUACGUGCCAGCAGCCGCGGUAAUACGUAGGUGGCAAGCGUUAUCCGGAAUUAUUGGGCGUAAAGCGCGCGUAGGCGGUUUUUUAAGUCUGAUGUGAAAGCCCACGGCUCAACCGUGGAGGGUCAUUGGAAACUGGAAAACUUGAGUGCAGAAGAGGAAAGUGGAAUUCCAUGUGUAGCGGUGAAAUGCGCAGAGAUAUGGAGGAACACCAGUGGCGAAGGCGACUUUCUGGUCUGUAACUGACGCUGAUGUGCGAAAGCGUGGGGAUCAAACAGGAUUAGAUACCCUGGUAGUCCACGCCGUAAACGAUGAGUGCUAAGUGUUAGGGGGUUUCCGCCCCUUAGUGCUGCAGCUAACGCAUUAAGCACUCCGCCUGGGGAGUACGACCGCAAGGUUGAAACUCAAAGGAAUUGACGGGGACCCGCACAAGCGGUGGAGCAUGUGGUUUAAUUCGAAGCAACGCGAAGAACCUUACCAAAUCUUGACAUCCUUUGACAACUCUAGAGAUAGAGCCUUCCCCUUCGGGGGACAAAGUGACAGGUGGUGCAUGGUUGUCGUCAGCUCGUGUCGUGAGAUGUUGGGUUAAGUCCCGCAACGAGCGCAACCCUUAAGCUUAGUUGCCAUCAUUAAGUUGGGCACUCUAAGUUGACUGCCGGUGACAAACCGGAGGAAGGUGGGGAUGACGUCAAAUCAUCAUGCCCCUUAUGAUUUGGGCUACACACGUGCUACAAUGGACAAUACAAAGGGCAGCGAAACCGCGAGGUCAAGCAAAUCCCAUAAAGUUGUUCUCAGUUCGGAUUGUAGUCUGCAACUCGACUACAUGAAGCUGGAAUCGCUAGUAAUCGUAGAUCAGCAUGCUACGGUGAAUACGUUCCCGGGUCUUGUACACACCGCCCGUCACACCACGAGAGUUUGUAACACCCGAAGCCGGUGGAGUAACCUUUUAGGAGCUAGCCGUCGAAGGUGGGACAAAUGAUUGGGGUGAAGUCGUAACAAGGUAGCCGUAUCGGAAGGUGCGGCUGGAUCACCUCCUUU